rnacentral:rRNA from 1 species
GACGAACGCUGGCGGCGUGCUUAACACAUGCAAGUCGAACGAGGCCCCUCCUUCGGGAGGGUGUCCUAGUGGCGAACGGGUGAGUAACACGUGGGCAACCUGCCCUCAGCUCUGGGAUAACCCCAAGAAAUUGGGGCUAAUACCGGAUACGACCGCUGACCGCAUGGUCGGUGGCGGAAAGGUUUGUUCGGCUGGGGAUGGGCCCGCGGCCUAUCAGCCUGUUGGUGGGGUAGUGGCCUACCAAGGCGACGACGGGUAGCCGGCCUGAGAGGGUGACCGGCCACACUGGGACUGAGACACGGCCCAGACUCCUACGGGAGGCAGCAGUGGGGAAUAUUGCGCAAUGGGCGGAAGCCUGACGCAGCGACGCCGCGUGGGGGAUGACGGCCUUCGGGUUGUAAACCUCUUUCAGCAGGGACGAAGCGAAAGUGACGGUACCUGCAGAAGAAGCACCGGCCAACUACGUGCCAGCCGCCGCGGUAACAC